rnacentral:lncRNA from 1 species
GGCUAGAAGCACAAAUAGAUCAAUUAACUGAAUCUACCAUGAGGAGAGAACUAGGUCAAUUACCAAAUGAACCAAUACUAAAUUUUGGAAAUGACCCACCCAUCCACCAACUACCUGGACCAAGUCAUCAAUCCAAUGUCCCACCUAAGAAUCUCCAAUUUGAAAGUGACAAUACAAUUUCUGAGCUUAAAAGUGAAAAGAUUCUUAAUGACCUAUACCAAGACCAGG